rnacentral:rRNA from 1 species
UACGUAGGGGGCAAGCGUUGUCCGGAAUCAUUGGGCGUAAAGCGCGUGUAGGUGGCCAAGUAGGUCAGCUGUGAAAACUUGAGGCUCAACCUCAAGCUGUCGGUUGAAACCACUUGGCUAGAGUCCGGAAGAGGAGAGUGGAAUUCCUGGUGUAGCGGUGAAAUGCGCAGAUAUCAGGAAGAACACCAAUGGCGAAGGCAGCUCUCUGGGACGGUACUGACGCUGAGACGCGAAAGCGUGGGGAGCGAACAGG